rnacentral:rRNA from 3 species
UAAUCCAGUAAGGUCACGGGUAGAACACCCGUUGAUAGGCUCUAAGUGGAAGCCCAGUAAUGGGUGAAGCUGAGGAGUACUAACAGACCGAGGGCUUGACCUC